rnacentral:lncRNA from 1 species
UGGAAGACUUAAGAUGGCGGCGUUUGCACGGAGUGCAAUCACUGCGUCCUUACGGGGGUUGCAAGGCGUCCGAAGUAUGAGUCCACUAACAAAAGUCCAGAAACUCGCCAGUUAAUAGUAUUGUGUCUCUUCAAAAUAUCGGAGAAUAAUUUCUUUCUCGCUGAUCGCCUAACUUCUACUGACGAAGCUUGGAAGUUGCAGAAGGUACUGGCUCCUGUAUCACCCAGCUCUGGAGUUGAAAGAGCUCUUCAUUCCUGAGUCUCCUGUACCACUGAGAAUAGGCUGGAGUGCAGUGGCGCAAUCUCGGCUCUCUGCAACCUUCACCUCCCGUGUUCAAGUGAUUCUCCUGCCUCAGCCUCCUGAAUACCUGAGAUUACAAGCAUGAGCCACCGCGUCCAGCAAGAAUAGGUGAUUUUCAAACUUGGAAACAUUCAGAAGUUAUCGCCUCAGUUUCAGAUUGAGUAGUCUCAAAGAGAUUACAGACAUCUACCACAAAUUCUCUACUUGGUGUGGUGCAAAAUCAGUAUGAUGUAAACUUUGUCUCUCAGUUUCUUCAAAGGAAAGAAGCAACUGGAACACACAUAUAACACUAACCCUUCCAGCUGCAUUAUGAGGGACCAGUACCUGUCUCAAGGCAAAAUUAUGACUUAGUUCAUCCUCACCUCUGGAGGCCAGUAAAAGUGGGUUAUAGAAGAACAAAGAGGCAUCUAGAUCUUUCACUGGGUUAUUUGGAGAGAAACAUCUCCUACCGAAGGCCAGUUUAACAAGACUGGUAGAGGAGGUUAUCUUAUCUAAUUCACAGAAAUCAACACAUUGAGUCAAGAAAAAUGAAACACAGAAACACUCUAAAUAAAAGAAGAUAAGUCUUCAGAAACCAACCCUAAUGAAAUGAAGAUAUGUGAUUAACCUGACAGGAAAUUAAAAAGAGCAACCAUAAAGAGUCUCAUGGGAGCAAUGCAUGAACAAACUGAGAAUUUUCAUAAAGAAAUAAAAGAUAACAAAAAGUAUAAAGUUGAAGAAUACAAUAACUGGACUCAAAAAUUUAAUGUGUCCAACAGAAGAAUCGAUGAAGCAGAAGAAAGGGCUAUCAAACUUGUAGAUAGGCCAUUGGAAAUCAUGUAAUGUGAGGAGAAAAAAGAAAAAAGAUUGAAGAUAGUUUAAGAGACUUUUGAGACAUCCUCAAAGGGGAAUAAUUUAUACAUUACCAGAUGGAGAAGAUAGAGGGAAAAGGACAGAAAACAUAUUUGAAGAAAUAAUGUCAGAAAACCUCAUAAUUCUGGCAAGGAAAUAGAAAUUUAGAUCUAAGAAUCUCGAACAUCAGGUAUGAUGAAUCCAAGGAGACUCACACCAAACCAUAUUGUAAUUAAAUAAAGGUUAAAGACAAUCUUCAGAGCA